rnacentral:rRNA from 1 species
AGUGAACGCUGGCGGCAGGCCUAACACAUGCAAGUCGAGCGGCAGCGCGGGGGCAACCCUGGCGGCGAGCGGCGGACGGGUGAGGAAUUCGUCGGAAUCUGCCUUUUUGUGGGGGAUAACGUAGGGAAACGUACGCUAAUACCGCAUACGUCCUACGGGUGAAAGUGGGGGACCGCAAGGCCUCACGCAGAAAGAUGAGCCGACGACCGAUUAGCUAGUUGGAUGGGUAAAGGCCCACCAAGGCGACGAUCGGUAGCUGGUCUGAGAGGAUGAUCAGCCACACUGGAACUGAGACACGGCCCAGACUCCUACGGGAGGCAGCAGUGGGGAAUCUUGGACAAUGGGCGCAAGCCUGAUCCAGCCAUGCCGCGUGUGUGAAGAAGGCCUUCGGGUUGUAAAGCACUGUUGUCCGGAAAGAAAACCCUGGUGCUAAUCCCUUCAGGGCAUGACGGUACCGGAAGAAUAAGCACCGGCUAACUUCGUG